AUGAACGCUGGCGGCGUGCCUAAUACAUGCAAGUCGAACGAGACUUCUUUAUCACCGAGUGCUUGCACUCACCGAUAAAGAGUUGAGUGGCGAACGGGUGAGUAACACGUGGGCAACCUGCCCAAAAGAGGGGGAUAACACUUGGAAACAGGUGCUAAUACCGCAUAACCAUAGUUACCGCAUGGUAACUAUGUAAAAGGUGGCUAUACUACCGCUUUUGGAUGGGCCCGCGGCGCAUUAGCUAGUUGGUAGGGUAAAGGCUUACCAAGGCAAUGAUGCGUAGCCGAAGUGAGAGGUUGAUCGGCCACAUUGGGACUGAGACACGGCCCAAACUCCUACGGGAGGCAGCAGUAGGGAAUCUUCCACAAUGGGCGAAAGCCUGAUGGAGCAACGCCGCGUGGGUGAAGAAGGUCUUCGGAUCGUAAAACCCUGUUGUUAGAGAAGAAAGUGCGUGAGAGUAACUGUUCACGUUUCGACGGUAUCUAACCAGAAAGCCACGGCUAACUACGUG
rnacentral:rRNA from 1 species